GCCACUGUAGCUCAGUUGGUAGAGCCCGCCAUUCGUAAUGGCGCUGUCGAAGGUUCGAGUCCUUUCGGUGGCU
rnacentral:tRNA from 1 species